rnacentral:rRNA from 1 species
ACUCCUACGGGAGGCAGCAGUGGGGAAUCUUGCGCAAUGGGCGAAAGCCUGACGCAGCCAUGCCGCGUGGAUGAUGAAGGUCUUAGGAUUGUAAAAUCCUUUCAGCGGGGACGAUAAUGACGGUACCCGCAGAAGAAGCCCCGGCUAACUUCGUGCCAGCAGCCGCGGUAAUACGAAGGGGGCUAGCGUUGCUCGGAAUUACUGGGCGUAAAGGGAGCGUAGGCGGAUCGUUUAGUCAGGGGUGAAAUCCCGGGGCUCAACCUCGGAACUGCCUUUGAUACUGGCGAUCUUGAGUAUGGGAGAGGUGUGUGGAACUCCGAGUGUAGAGGUGAAAUUCGUAGAUAUUCGGAAGAACACCAGUGGCGAAGGCGACACACUGGCCCAUUACUGACGCUGAGGCUCGAAAGCGUGGGGAGCAAACAGGAUUAGAUACCCUGGUAGUCCACGCUGUAAACGAUGAGUGCUAGUUGUUGGCGGGCAUGCCCGUCGGUGACGCAGCUAACGCCUUAAGCACUCCGCCUGGGGAGUACGGUCGCAAGAUUAAAACUUAAAGGAAUUGACGG